rnacentral:rRNA from 1 species
CCUACGGGAGGCAGCAGUGGGGAAUUUUGGACAAUGGGCGAAAGCCUGAUCCAGCAAUGCCGCGUGAGUGAAGAAGGCCUUCGGGUUGUAAAGCUCUUUUGUCAGGGAAGAAACGGUGCGGGCUAAUAUCCCGCACUAAUGACGGUACCUGAAGAAUAAGCACCGGCUAACUACGUGCCAGCAGCCGCGGUAAUACGUAGGGUGCAAGCGUUAAUCGGAAUUACUGGGCGUAAAGCGUGCGCAGGCGGUUUUGUAAGUUUGUCGUGAAAGCCCCGGGCUCAACCUGGGAAUUGCGAUGAAGACUGCAAGGCUUGAAUCUGGCAGAGGGGGGUAGAAUUCCACGUGUAGCAGUGAAAUGCGUAGAGAUGUGGAGGAACACCGAUGGCGAAGGCAGCCCCCUGGGUCAAGAUUGACGCUCAUGCACGAAAGCGUGGGGAGCAAACAGGAUUAGAUACCCUGGUAGUCCACGCCCUAAACGAUGUCUACUAGUUGUCGGGUUUUAAUUAACUUGGUAACGCAGCUAACGCGUGAAGUAGACCGCCUGGGGAGUACGGUGCAAGNUUAAACUCAAAUUGAAUUGACGGNNGNGNGNGCGAGCGACGACGAGGAGAGG